rnacentral:lncRNA from 1 species
UGGUAUUUAUUCAGAGUGUAUUUUUUUUGGGGUGCAAAUGUUAAGAUAAACUUAUUCACAGUGAUUCAUAACUCAUAAGCACAACAAUUGUUACAGUUAGUGAAAUUGUUUGUUUGGUUAAAGGUAAAAUAGAAUUUAAACAUAUGACUCGAAUUCUCAAAAGGUUAACCAUCAAAAAUAGAGAGAAAUUAUACAUAGAAUAAAAUGAUAUAUUGGUGAAUUAUCUAUCAUUAGUUUUUUCACAUUUUAAGAGCUGUGAAUAAUUUUAAUUAUCAAACAACAAAAACAGAAUAAUUACGAAGUUUGAUUGCAUGCAAUAUACCCGUAUGUGUAUAUAUGAGAACUGUUAAUAUAAAUGAUCAUGUUCUUCGGUUCCAUGUAUAUAAUUGUAAUUAAGUUUUCACGAUUUUAUCUUCCAUUCAGAAUAUAUUUGGGUCACAUCAGA